UCGAGAAUCUUUGUCAAUGGGCGCAAGCCUGAACAAGCGAUGCCGCGUGCGGGAUGAAGGCCUUCGGGUUGUAAACCGCUGUCAGAGGGGAGCAAAUUUUGAGCGAUCCUCAGAGGAAGCCCGGGCUAAGUUCGUGCCAGCAGCCGCGGUAACACGAACCGGGCAAACGUUAUUCGGAAUCACUGGGCUUAAAGGGUGCGUAGGCGGCACAGUCAGUCGGGUGUGAAAUCCCCCAGCUCAACUGGGGAACUGCGCCCGAAACUACUGUGCUUGAGGGAGAUAGAGGUGAGCGGAACGAAUGGUGGAGCGGUGAAAUGCGUUGAUAUCAUUCGGAACACCUGUGGCGUAAGCGGCUCACUGGGUCUCUUCUGACGCUGAGGCACGAAAGCUAGGGGAGCGAACGGGAUUAGAUACCCCGGUAGUCC
rnacentral:rRNA from 1 species